rnacentral:rRNA from 1 species
AUUACUCCUACGGGAGGCAGCAGUAGGGAAUCUUCGGCAAUGGACGAAAGUCUGACCGAGCAACGCUGCGUGAGUGAAGAAGGUUUUCGGAUCGUAAAACUCUGUUGGUAGAGAAGAACGUUGGUGAGAGUGGAAAGCUCAUCAAGUGACGGUAACUACCCAGAAAGGGACGGUUAACUACGUGCCAGCAGCCGCGGUAAUAAU